UGAGGCGAGAUCAAUAGGCUGGAUACGCACGUAGAUUCUGUAGCGUAGGGCUUGCGGACGCGGGUUCGAUUCCCGCCGCCUCCACCA
rnacentral:tRNA from 1 species